CACUUUCUGUAGGCUGCAUUUUUUUUCCUUCUGUGUAAAGCAGUGUGAUUCACGGGAUAUGGCUUUGUAGCUCCUGCUUAGUGACCUCUCCUGGUUCCUCACCUCGUGUUCUUCACUGGUCAGAGCCAUUGGUGUUUAGAUGCUCAGCAGAGGUGAUUGCACAGCCUUUGACACCUCACAUCCCCUGCUGCCUAGAUUUGAAAGAGUAAAGCAACUUCUGGAUUGCUUCAAAUGCACUGGCAACAUAAAUAGCAACAGUUUUCCAGAUGAAGAAAUCUAUGUGGGAUAUGUUAAAUGGUCUGCCAAGCGCUGGCCUGAAUGCCUGGGGAUUUCUGCACUCCAGUUUUAUGGACUCCUGGCUACACACAGGCUGUGACCAAGACUUCCACAGCAGUGCCAUCCAGCGAAGGGACCGCAGUGACUCCCGUCUUAUGUACUCGCCUCCCUGUGUAUAUCCUGGUUGCCACUUCUGUGGUGUUUUGGGCAGCUCACAAUCCCUCCAUAGGGAUGUAUGUCUCCAUAGGGAUGAAUGUCUCACCCCCGUCUUGUGUCACAGAAAAGAAAGUGUGGACUCUGGUGCUUCUGGCAUCUCAGUGUUAAUAUCAUUACUCUGUUAAUUGUAUGGGGCUGACAAUUAGCUGUGUCCCUGUUGCAAACCCAGCAGGAAGGUCCUGAGUCAGGGCUCAAGGGGGUAAAAAGAAACUCAAUGGUUUUCUUCAUUUUAGUCUUAAUCGAAACUGAGUUGAAACUGGACUUGAGGUGGCUGAGUUUGUUUAUUUGUGUUGAAUGUUUCCCUCAGUCUGAGGACUCGCAUGUGCUGGUGACAUCUGGGGUUUUUCGGCUCAGUGGGAGCGAGCCUUACCCUGAAGUCACUCCCUGGAGGGUGACACAGCUUAGUUGUCCUCAGUAGGGACAUCACUGCAUGAACUUGGCAUGCCUGAAUUGGUGGGACUCGUGUUGCAUGCUGUACCUGCCGCUUUUUAAUAUAAACAGAAUAAGAGCAAAGCCCAGGGAUAACUGUUGUUGUAUGUCAGUGUCAGCCAGUACUUAGGCUUUAAGAUCAUGAGGCCUAUGCAGAUCUGAAAUACCAACAAUCAUUUUUGGGGGAGAAGUGGUAACGCUUUAAUAUCUGUUCCUCCAAAUAGCUGGAAUUGAUUACAAGCCUAGCUGAAGGUGGUGUCCUUGUAUUGGACAGUUUACAGUUCAGGCUCUUUCCUUAUUUAUUCCUAUAGAAAGGCAGCUAUGUUUGCUCAUUUCCCCCUUUUCUGAACAUUAAGUAGAAAGGGUUAGAAACUUUUUUAGUGAAAAGUGUAGGCA
rnacentral:lncRNA from 1 species